rnacentral:pre_miRNA from 1 species
AUUCAAUGAUCAACAACGUUUGACUGUUCGUCUUAUUUAAUUUUUUAUUAGUAUUUUUUGUUGUUAUUAGAUGAUAAAACAUGAAUAGUACUAAUUUUUUUUGUUUUUUUCAUAAACUUUUCAAAUAAAACGGACGGUCAAACGUUAGACACGGAUACCCACAACUGCACUUAUU